rnacentral:rRNA from 1 species
AUGUCUGCCAUCUCGACCCACGAUGGCUUGUGUCAUGUGCCACCAACCAUGGAAUCAACUUGGGGCGUCCCUAAUCGCACAAGUCUCCAACUGAUUCGGCUAGAACAACAUAAGGAAUGCCUUGGGCAGCUUGACAGAAGUGGAAGUGUGGGGUGCUUACUUUUAACUGAAAAAGCUAUUGGUAGUACAAGGCCACCCUUGUAUAAGGUUGCUCCCAUGACAAAGAUUUUAGUGGAGCCAUUCAAGACGUUGAAGUCUCCUUUCUUAGUGAAAAGGCAGACUUUUUGUAGACCAAAUGCCAAAAUACUGGAGGAGUUGUAUGAGGGCACUAUCGCUGAUAAAUUGCAUAUAUGGCAAGGGCCUGAGGAUAUUCAGAAAUUAAUGAAGGAUGAACAAAAGAUGGAUGGCGUAUGCCUAAAUUUAGCUGUUAGCAAUCUGCAGAGAGAGGACGCUCACGAUUUUAGGAAUACCAGGUGUUUGGGUUGGAGGCACUGUGUUGAUUCAGACUGGGCGAAAAGUUCACUCGGUGGAUGUUCCGAUCUCAAGUUUCUCCAAAUGCUUUUUUAUUCUGGAUCAGUUCUAUAUAAUGCUUCACAAUCACAUAUGGUAUUCAUCCCAGUCGUCAUUUGUGGUGACCAUUGGACUCUGUACGCUUUCAACAUGUGUGAUCGAAAGCUCAGUAUUCUGGACUCUCUACGAGAUACUAAUGAAGGUGGUGAUGAUCCCGCGGAGCGCCACCAGAAAACUAGAUGCAUUAUCUGUGAUGCACUUACCGUAACCAUGAACCUUGCAAUUGACUUCCGUAGCUGGGAAUACGAUUUCCCCAAAUUACCUAGACAACAGAACAGCUAUGAUAGUGGAUUUUUCGUAUUCAAUUUCAUGCGCUUGUGGGACGGUCGUCAACUUGUUCGAUGGUUUCCAUUUGAAUCAAAGGAGAUGCGGAAGGAUUUUCUGGCAUACAUACUCUUGUGCAAGGACAACAAUGUACAUCUGCCUAAGGAAGUUUCUUCGAAGAUUAAGGAUCUUCCUGGUGAGAUGCCCUGGAGGCUCGAUGCGUUCUCUUUCUUUUUCAUGCUGUAUACUCUGCUUACGUGGCAUAAGUGGAAUGCAUGGCCGCAUGAUAGCUUGAGGUUGCUGGUUGAAUCAUCAAGGCUGUGGGACCUGCUCGAAGCCACGUACACUGCUAAUGUUUAUUUAGUAUACGGCUCCAAACGAAAAUACGGUGCCAAGUCAGCGGACUUGGGGCGAAAUUUAGGAGGGGGGAAGUUGUAUGAAGAGGUGCGGGAGCUCGUGGGGCCGUUUUGGUUGGGGUGGCGAGGGCGUUCAGGGACGAACCGGUCUCGGGACGCGGGUCGGGGCCGAGCCGGCGGCGGCCGAAGGCCAAGGCGAGGGUGCAAGCACGUGGAUCCGGGGCCGGGGAGGCCGGAUCCAGCAGUAGGCGGCGUGGGGACGUUGGUACCGGAGCGGGGCGAGGUCGACGCGGUGGCGGGGAGAAUAGGGCGGUGGGGGAAGUCCUGGGGCUGCCGGCGGCGACGCGGGACGCCGGUUGGAGGAGGCUCUGGGGUCGCGCAACGAGGCGGCAGGGUCAGGCGCAGAGGGGGCUCGGGGAGGCUGCGGGAGCGCGCGGGCUUCCUUGGGCCCAGGGCGACGGAGGGCUCUCGCGAGCCCAUGAUUGGAUCACAGGGCCGCGACGGCUGGUGGGAGGCAAGGGCGAGGAGAGGCGACUUGUCUAGUCGUGUGUGGGGUAUAUGA